rnacentral:lncRNA from 1 species
AUGAGUUGCUUUUGUGCAAAUCGCCUUUUGUCUUCGCUUUUUUAUGGAGGCUUGCUGGAGUGCGAAGAUCCCUCUGUGAAAAUAAGGGAUCUCUGCAGGCAGCGCUGCCACGCUCUGUCCCUCUGGAGCUGCUGUGUUCACCUAGGAGCUGUUAGACGACUGGAAAACAAGAGAUCUUGCCAAGGAGCUACGUGGGACAACCAAUGUUUCCCUUUGGUCCUGUUUACUGCUGUGACAGCCUCAUCCUGCAGAGCAGAACGAGUGUGCUCUUGGGAAUAAAACUGUUAAGGCUUCUUGGAGAUGCAGAGUGAAAUGUUUACGUGAGAGACCGUGUCAGCAGCUGUGUGCCUUAUCCAAGCAAGCAUGUCCAGGAAUGUUUAUAGAAACAUGGCAGCGCUAAAUCGGGACAGUUGGUCACUAAUCUUUGCAAAGAUACAGAACUGAUUAAAUAAAAAGAUUCCCUGAGGCAGCCUCUAAGUUGCAGUAUAAGGGUGACCCAGGCUUUUAAAGGCUCCUCUCUGGCCCCUGUUCCUCCCCACACUUCCUCUGUGUGGUCACUCCAGAUUGCUGCCAGCUGGCCCGUUCGUCCUGCGUGGGGUUUUGACCUUUCAGAGAGACAGACAAAAUCUGUGGCUUGUGCAAAUCUUUGAAUUUGCAGCCAGUCUAGCAGUGAGGGGGAGGAAUAGAGGGAGUUUAAGCUGCAGAGGGAAGAGACUCUGCUCUUCAUUGCCUCACUAUUGACCACAGACCCCUCUGUGCCCAUAAAUGAGUCUGAGUCUCCUUGCCUGUUGUGUUGCCUUCUCCCCUUGUUUCAGACAUCAGGUUAUGGUGUGUUUCCAGCUAGACAAAUACGAGCUGGUUUUUUGUUCCAGGGUAAGAUUUUUUUU